AGCAAUGUAGAAAUGCAUGAGCUGACUUGGAUACCUAUUAAAGAAAAUGGGCUAGCCUCUGUGCAUAAUGCCGCAUAUGUUCCGACCAUUUAAAGAUCCGUAUGUUACGCAUACGUUCCGACCAAGAUGUCGUCAUAAGGGUUGUUUAGGGGUGCUGUACCAACACAAGAUGCUUCAUGGAUCAAAUGGCCACACCAACAAGCAAAACAGUCCAAAAAAAAAAAGUUCUCUCCUAAUCCAGAAAUGCAGUGUUCAUCCACUGAUAAUCAUUCCCAUCAACACAAUCUGUAGUAAAUUUUGAAAGUUACUCAUUGGAUAUAACCGGGAAAAAUUCACUAAAGAAUGAUUUUUUGUCUCCUCAUUUAAUAUUGUGUUGUGCUGAAAGUUGCAUGGAUAUAUUCCAAAUGGUUUACUAAUAGUUUACCUUUUUAAAUAUUGGUGAUGUUAGAUUAGCAACAUUAUAAAUAUUAUUAAAGUGUGGUGGUUAGUCAGGUAAACUUAUUUAAAAAUUACAGUAAAAUCACAAAUGGUACGAAAGUUACAUUAGGAAUACUGUAAAAUAUCAUUGACAGUAAGUUAGAGACAUUUAAAAUAGGUAACUUCUAACCAACCAUGUGGAUUAAAAUGUGCAUUUUUACAGCUUUUAUUUAUGCCACACAUUUUUACUAUGUAUACAGCUCGUGUUUGAGAAUUUUAUUUUUAUUGCUUGAUAUGAAUUUAUCUUGAUAUCAGUAUAAAGUUACAAAUUUAUUGCCAAUAGACCAUUUAUAAUUAUAACCACAAUAGCAUUUACAAACUUGUUUUUUUAUUUUUUAUUUUAUUUGGGGUCUGAAAAAUUUUAAAGUAAAGCACUUGUAUGUAUUGUCUGACGUUACUACAUGGAUGAAAUGCUCCUAUACUUCAACAUUGUUCUAUAGCUUGGGAAGGUUCUAGAUUACUCAAACAAAGAAAUGGGGAAUCUUGGUAGGCAGUUCAUGUUCGAAAAUGUUUUAACUCGCAGGCAACAUUUCAACUAAUUUUGCUGAUUAACGCACUUUCAUUAUAACUAUCAGUAGUAUAGCAGCUAACCAGUCACAUUGCAAUGCACUGAGCAGAACCCAAGAAAUUUGAGAAAAACAUUAUGCGUGCGGAACUAUGGUUAGUAUAUACUACUAAGCUUUUGGCUUUCAGGUAUUGCAUGCUAUCUUAUCCAGCAUAACCUAUUUUUUAAAAAAAUCAACUUCAUUAGUUCUAAUGUACUAGUUUAUCAUUAAGUUUUGUAUUAAGACUGACUGUAACAACUCAAUUUCCUGCAUAUUUUUAUGUCCUUAAGUCAUAUCAUUUAUUCUAAAGUUGUUUGUCCCAAUUUUAGACAAAGUUAUCUUAGCAAAUAUGAUGGAAUGUAUUAUGUAUUAUUAGGCCAAAUUAUUUUAGUAUACAAAUGAUGGAACUCUCGCAAGUGCCACCAGCAAUUCCAUGUCACACCUGAUGUCUUGACAAUGUUGUGGGAUGAUAAAAAAAAACCUGUACAGCUGCUAAAUAAAGGAAUUAAAUUAUGCAUUCUGAAGGCAAGGUAUCCAAUUUAUCAGUUAAUAUGAUUCCAUCAAAACUUAUUGGGCAAAAAAAUUUAUAACAUUAGCCAAUAAACAGAAACAGCAUCAGACCCCGAUCAAAAUCAUCAGAGGUCCCUUAUCUAUACCCUGUAGGAAACCCCUUUCCCAUUAAUACUUGAAUUCAGCAUGAAAACUUUAGCAAGGUACAUCUGUUGUUACUCCUUUGUGCUCGACAAUAAAUUAAUGUGUUGUAA